UCAGGUGGCCGCAGAGAAUAGGCCCAAGCGACUGUUUACCAAAAACAUAGGUUUCUGCUAAGUCGCAAGACGAUGUAUAGGAGCUGACGCCUGCCCGGUGCUGGAAGGUUAAGGGGAUCUGUUAGAGCAAUCGAAGCAGGGAACUUAAGCCCCAGUAAACGGCGGCCGUAACUAUAACGGUCCUAAGGUAGCGAAAUUCCUUGUCGGGUAAGUUCCGACCCGCACGAAAGGCGUAACGAUUUGGGCACGGUCUCAACAACAGACUCG
rnacentral:rRNA from 1 species